UUGAGAAUAAGACAUGGGGGUCCAUUCCAAGAUGGCCGAAUAGGAACAGCUCCGGUCUGCAGCUCCCAGCCUGAUCGACGCAGAAGACAGGUGAUUUCUGCAUUUCCAACUGAGAAUAAGACAUAAAAUCACAUAUGAACAGACAGUUUUGAGGAACUAAGGUUAACUUUAUGGAGCCAAUGCAUAUGAAGCCCUCCCGGAAAGUCUGCCUGGUACCUGGAUUAUGGAGUUCCCAGCCUUACAGGUUUUGUUAUCUACUUGUAAAUUGAACGGGAUCCUGUCAUCAUGCACAGCUUGUCAGUCCUUACCAAAUUCUCAGUUCUUCUAGUUCCCUUUACUAUCUGGCUACCACUCUCCAAACUGAGGUUUUUAAUUUUUCUCCCACUGUCCUGAUUUGGCAUCACUGAGAACUAAAACCUAACUUCCCAGAUCUUUAUUGUGACUGUCUAAAGAAGCCCUUCAAGAUGAAGUUGGACACUUCUACACUCUGCUCGGAAAAAUAACCAUGACUGUGACACUGAUGUCUAUGCCAUCACCAAGGACAUUCAAACUGCAAACCAGAAAAUCCAUGAUCUGGGAUGGCCACUGCAGUCCUCACCCCAUCAUCUAAAGAUGCCUUGACAUCUAGAAAUCUUCUCAACUGGCUGCCCUGCUACCAAGUUUCAGCAGGGGGCUCAGCUUGUCCUUAAUGAAAAAAAGGCCACCAAAUGAGAAAUUGACUUAUAUUGUUCAAAGGAAAGAAGAAUGUCUCUUUUUCCCUUGAACAAGAGGAGGGACCAAGAAAGACCCUCCCCUUGACCAAAUUUUAGAUGAGCUCCUCUGAGGCCUCUUUUCAACAAGCUUUGUCCUUGCAUCCUGUCUUCAGCCUGCCUAGUCCAAUUGUAACAAGAGUCCUGCUAAGUCAGUUUAGGGAAAAUCCUCCCACCUUUGAUUUCUCCUCUUAGUAAUUUUCCAUCCACUGACUCUUCUCCUCCCAUUCUGCUCACUGGCUAAAAACCUCCAGUGGUUUUUGCUGUAUUCAGAGUUGAGCUCAACCAUUUCCUGUCUCCUAUUGCACAGUCUUGAUACCUAUUGCAAUAAUCUUGAAUAAAUCUUUCUUACUGCCUUAAUAAGUGUAAGAAAAUCUUUUUCUUUAAUACCAUUCUACCCUGAUAUGGUUUGGCUCUGUGUCCCCACCGAAAUCUCAUCUUGUAGCUCCCAUAAUUCCCACAUGUUGUUGGAGGGACCCAGUGGGAGAUGGUUGAAUCAUGGGGGCACGUCUUUCCCGUGCUGUUUCUUGUGCUGUUCUCGUGGGUCUCAGGAGAUCUGAUGGUUUUAAAAUGUGAGUUUCUCUGCACAAACUCUUUGCCUACUGCCAUCCACGUAAGAUGUGACCUGCUCCUUCUUGCCUUCCGCCAUGAUUGUGAGGCCUCCCCAGCCAUAAGGAACUAUAAGUCUAUUAAACCUCUUUCUUUUGUAAAUUGCUCAGCCUCAGCUAUGUCUUUAUCAGGAGCAUAAAAACUAAUACAUAUGCUCAUUCAAGAUGGAUUGGAUUUACCCUCCUCCCUGAAAAAAAAAAAAAAGCAAAAUAUAUUAAAUAGCAAUUUUAAGGUACUGGACACCAGGCAAUUAAGGAUAAUGAUACUUUGAUACUUAAGAGAUGAGACAUAAAUAAUGUCAUCCAUACAGUGGCCAAAAUUUACUACUGUGAAAGAGUUUU
rnacentral:lncRNA from 1 species